rnacentral:rRNA from 1 species
GACGAACGCUGGCGGCGUGCUUAACACAUGCAAGUCGAGCGGAAAGGCCACUUCGGUGGUACUCGAGCGGCGAACGGGUGAGUAACACGUGAGUAAUCUGCCCCUGGCUUUGGGAUAGCCACCGGAAACGGUGAUUAAUACCGGAUACGACCACUUCUCGCAUGGGAUGGUGGUGGAAAGUUUUUUCGGCCAGGGAUGUGCUCGCGGCCUAUCAGCUUGAUGGUGAGGUAAUGGCUCACCAUGGCUUCGACGGGUAGCCGGCCUGAGAGGGUGACCGGUCAAACGGGGACUGAGACACGGCCCAGACUCCUACGGGAGGCAGCAGUGGGGAAUAUUGGACAAUGGGCGGAAGCCUGAUCCAGCAACGCCGCGUGAGGGAUGACGGCCUUCGGGUUGUAAACCUCUUUCAGCAGGGACGAAGCGCAAGUGACGGUACCUGCAGAAGAAGCACCGGCCAACUACGUGCCAGCAGCCGCAGUAA